GUCCCUGUAGCACAAUGCAUAGCGGAUUGGACUUUUAUUCCAAAGGUCGUGAGUUCGAAUCUCACCUGGGAUG